CCGGGGCAGCGGGCAGCAGGCAGGGCACGAGGGUGAAGGGAGUGCCCGGGUUCAGUAGACUGUUUCGGGAAGAGGACGGAUUUGCACUCCCCGUAUUUAUGACCCCCAACCAUCAGGUCAGAAGCCAAACCCCACUAGUCCUCUCACAGCCCACUGCGGCAUUUCCCAACGUCUUCUUGCUGUCCCUUAGAACAGUGCAGGCUACGUGGUUGCUUUGACAUGGUCAGGUUUCUCUUGGGGACGAAGCUGCGUUGUGUGGUUUCCGCGGUGUCCGGCGCGCCAGCGUCUGCCACAGGACAUCACUCUUCAUAGCGCAAACACAGCUUCGCGCUCAGCCCGAAGGAGGGAAGAUGCUCUGAGGCUGUAGCAGUGGUUUCAGAGGCUGAAGGAAGGACUCAGGAGAGAGCAACGCCACUCAGUGGAGGGCCCAGGUCUCUGGAACGUCACACAGGAGGCUGUCCUGGAGGCGCUGCCUGUGUAAAUUCCAAAUUCCUGGGAGGAACCUGCAUGGCCAUCUUAUGCCACAGACAAGGGGGGCAUAGGCGGAGCGCAGUUGGCCAAGAUGCUUUUGCUGACAUUGAAGACACA